rnacentral:rRNA from 1 species
AUAUUGGACAAUGGGCGAAAGCCUGAUCCAGCCAUGCCGCGUGUGUGAAGAAGGUCUUCGGAUUGNAAAGCACUGUAAGUUGGGAGNAAGGGUUGUAGGUUAAUACCCUGCAAUUUUGACGUUACCAACAGAAUAAGCACCGGCUAACUUCGUUCCAGCAGCCGCGGUAAUACGAAGGGUGCAAGCGUUAAUCGGAAUUACUGGGCGUAAAGCGCGCGUAGGUGGUUCGUUAAGUUGGAAGUGAAAGCCCCGGGGUCAACCUGGGAAAUGCUUUCAAAACUGGCAAGCUAGAGUAUGGCAGAGGGUGGUGGAAUUUCCUGUGUAGCGGUGAAAUGCGUAGAUAUAGGAAGGAACAUCAGUGGCGAAGGCGACUACCUGGACUGAUACUGACACUGAGGUGCGAAAGCGUGGGGAGCAAACAGG